rnacentral:rRNA from 1 species
AUGCUUACGCACGUACUCUACCUCAACGUGCUGAGCUUUCCGCGGUCGCAGUCUUCCCGGGAGAUGCUGGGGAGCGGAACGUGGAAGGACUCGAACCACGAGAGCUGCCCGAGCGACGUGGCCGUCGGGUUGCCCCACCGGUACGAGCCGUUGAGGAGCCCGGCCUUGUCCUUGGUACCGAACGGCAGGCGGAACAGCCUCGCCUGCUCCCGCCUCAUCUCCUCUAAAAGCUCCCGCCCCACGCCGUGGUUGACCACCUGGAAGAAGCCCCACUCCGACGCAGCUCUCGCCAUGGCCUCCGCGCACGCCUUGCUCUCCCUCGCGUCGCGGCUCGCCAGGCGCUUCAAGUCGAUAAUUGGCAGGUCACGCUCCAGCAUGGCCAGGCUCUCCACCGCAUGCGCCGACGCAGCGCCGCCACCCUCGAGCUUGCCUCUGCAGAGCAGCGCACGGUAG